rnacentral:misc_RNA from 1 species
GAAAUGCGAUAAGUAAUGUGAAUUGCAGAAUUCAGUGAAUCAUCGAAUCUUUGAACGCACAUUGCGCCCGCCAGUAUUCUGGCGGGCAUGCCUGUUCGAGCGUCAUUACAACCCUCAGGCCCCCGGGCCUGGCGUUGGGGAUCGGCGGAAGCCCCCUGCGGGCACGACGCCGUCCCCCAAAUACAGUGGCGGUCCCGCCGCAGCUUCCAUUGCGUAGUAGCUAACACCUCGCAACUGGAGAGCGGCGCGGCCACGCCGUAAAACACCCAACUUCUGAAUGUUGACCUCGAAGCAGGUAGGAAUACCCGCUGAACUUAAGC